rnacentral:rRNA from 1 species
UCGAGGGGCAGCGGGAUUGAAGCUUGCUUCAAUCGCCGGCGACCGGCGCACGGGUGCGUAACGCGUAUGCAACCUACCCAGAACAGGGGGAUAACCCGGCGAAAGUCGGAUUAAUACCCAAUGACGUCUCUAGAAGACAUCUGAAGGAGAUUAAAGAUUUAUCGGUGAUGGAUGGGGAUGCGUCUGAUUAGCUUGUUGGCGGGGUAACGGCCCACCAAGGCAACGAUCAGUAGGGGUUCUGAGAGGAAGGUCCCCACAUUGGAACUGAGACACGGUCCAAACUCC